ensembl:Y_RNA Y_RNA Y RNA
AGUUGGUCCAACUGCGGUGGUGUUUACAACUAAUCGAUCACAACCAGUGACAGGUUUGUUUCUUUUCCACUCCCGCUGCUUUACUUGAUUAGCUAAAA